UCAUUGGUGGUUCAGUGGUAGAAUGCUUGCCUUUCAUGCAGGAGACCUGGGUUUGAUUCCCAGCUAAUACA
rnacentral:tRNA from 1 species